rnacentral:rRNA from 1 species
GAUGAACGCUGGCGGCGUGCCUAAUACAUGCAAGUCGAGCGAACAGACGAGGAGCUUGCUCCUCUGACGUUAGCGGCGGACGGGUGAGUAACACGUGGAUAACCUACCUAUAAGACUGGGAUAACUUCGGGAAACCGGAGCUAAUACCGGAUAAUAUAUUGAACCGCAUGGUUCAAUAGUGAAAGACGGUUUUGCUGUCACUUAUAGAUGGAUCCGCGCCGCAUUAGCUAGUUGGUAAGGUAACGGCUUACCAAGGCGACGAUGCGUAGCCGACCUGAGAGGGUGACCGGCCACACUGGAACUGAGACACGGUCCAGACUCCUACGGGAGGCAGCAGUAGGGAAUCUUCCGCAAUGGGCGAAAGCCUGACGGAGCAACGCCGCGUGAGUGAUGAAGGUCUUCGGAUCGUAAAACUCUGUUAUUAGGGAAGAACAAAUGUGUAAGUAACUAUGCACGUCCUGACGGUACCUAAUCAGAAAGCCACGGCUAACUACGUG